rnacentral:rRNA from 1 species
UGAUAUGAACCGUUAUAACCGGCGAUACCCGAAUGGGGAAACCCAGUGUGAUUCGUCACACUAUCAUUAACUGAAUCCAUAGGUUAAUGAGGCGAACCGGGGGAACUGAAACAUCUAAGUACCCCGAGGAAAAGAAAUCAACCGAGAUUCCCCCAGUAGCGGCGAGCGAACGGGGAGGAGCCCAGAGCCUGAAUCAGCAUGUGUGUUAGUGGAAGCGUCUGGAAAGGCGCGCGAUACAGGGUGACAGCCCCGUACACAAAAGCGCAUGUGCUGUGAGCUCGAUGAGUAGGGCGGGACACGUGGUAUCCUGUCUGAAUAUGGGGGGACCAUCCUCCAAGGCUAAAUACUCCUGACUGACCGAUAGUGAACCAGUACCGUGAGGGAAAGGCGAAAAGAACCCCGGCGAGGGGAGUGAAAAAGAACCUGAAACCGU